GACGAACGCUGGCGGCAUGCCUAACACAUGCAAGUCGAGCGAGUUGAUUUCUUCGGAAUGAAGCUAGCGGCGGACGGGUGAGUAACACGUGGGCAACCUGCCUCAUAGAGGGGAAUAGCCUUCCGAAAGGAAGAUUAAUACCGCAUAAGAUUGUAGUACCGCAUGGUAUAGCAAUUAAAGGAGUAAUCCGCUAUGAGAUGGGCCCGCGGCGCAUUAGCUGGUUGGUGAGGUAACGGCUCACCAAGGCGACGAUGCGUAGCCGACCUGAGAGGGUGAUCGGCCACAUUGGGACUGAGACACGGCCCAGACUCCUACGGGAGGCAGCAGUGGGGAAUAUUGCACAAUGGGGGAAACCCUGAUGCAGCAAUGCCGCGUGAGUGAUGACGGCCUUCGGGUUGUAAAGCUCUGUCUUCGGGGACGAUAAUGACGGUACCCGAGGAGGAAGCCACGGCUAACUACGUGCCAGCCGCCGCGGUAA
rnacentral:rRNA from 1 species